AAAGAAUUAAAUAGAUGAAAUAUGAAGUUUUAUUAAAAGAAAAAGGGGUGAAAAGAACAAAGUUUUGUCCAUCUUUGUUCAUCAUAGCUGAAAGUUAGAGAAGAGAAAGGAGAGGAGAAAGCUCUUGAGUAUUCGGUCAUUAGGAGGAGGAAAAUUGAAGGUAAUCCCCAACCAUAGUGGGCUUGGAGCUGUGAGGGAAUUCGGAGUGGCCACCCGUUCUGAAAGUUUGAUUUUCUUCUAGUGAACUGGACAUCCUUUUAUUACGUUUGAGGUUUUGGGCUUUUAAAUGUAAUAAGGCUGCUUAUUUAUUUU